GCCAGGUGUGGUGGCGCAUACCUGUAGUCCCAGCUACUUGGGAGGCUGAGGUGGGAGGAUUGCUUGAGCCUGGGAGGUUGAGGCUGCAGUGAGCUAAGAUCACGCCACUGCACUCCAGCCUGGACGACAGAGUGAGACCCUGUCUCAA
rnacentral:SRP_RNA from 2 species